rnacentral:rRNA from 1 species
UACGUAGGGUGCGAGCGUUAAUCGGAAUUACUGGGCGUAAAGCGUGCGCAGGCGGUUCGUUGUGUCCGAUGUGAAAGCCCCGGGCUUAACCUGGGAAUGGCAUUGGAAACUGGCGGGCUGGAGUGUGGCAGAGGGGGGUGGAACUCCUGGUGUAGCAGUGAAAUGCGUAGAGAUCAGGAAGAACACCGAUGGCGAAGGCAGCCCCCUGGGCUAACACUGACGCUCAGGCACGAAAGCGUGGGGAG